UUACAAAAAAUGUAUGAAAAUUGUGUCACACACUUUCAACCUUCUUUUGUAGCUGGAACAUGAAAAUGCCCAGUUAAGAAAUAUAAAUCUCACUUUGUCUGAAGCCCUUCAUUCACAGUCCGUGGCAAGCAUGAUCCUGGAUGAUGAAGGUGUUUUGGGCAGUAUUGAGAAUUCUUUCCAGAAAUUUCACGCUUUCUUGGAUCUCCUUAAAGAUGCUGGGCUUGGGCAACUUGCCACAAUGGCUGGUAUAGAUCAGUCAGAUUUUCAUUUACUAGGUCGUCCUCAGAUGAAUUCUACUAUUAGUAGUGCACCUAAAGAAGAAAAGAAGGCACUUGAAGAAGAAAAAACAGAUCCAAAGCAAAAUGCCCUAGGACAAAUGCAGAAUAUCCAAGUUUCUAUUUGUAUGCAGUCAGCUUACAAUGAAGGAACACUAAUGAAGUUUCAGAAAAUCACAGGUGAUGCUAGAAUUCCUUUGCCUCUUGACUCCUUCCAUGUCCCAGUUUCUACUCAGGAGGCCUCAGGAACUUCCAAAGACAACCUGGAAGACCCAGCUCCUGAGCAGCGGCAGGAAUCUUUUGAAGGAUUCAUGGCGAGAACAUGUUCUCCUUUAGCAGAUAUGAUUUCUGGAACUGGAAAUCAAAGAGAAGAAGAGGAAUUAUCUAGAAAUAGCAGUUCACCCUCAGAGAAAAUGACCCAAGCAGGUGAAUAUACCAAAAAACACUUUGCCAAGAAACAGCCUGGGAAGGACCUGCAUUCCUAUUCUGACUCCUUUAUAAACCAGAAAAGCAAAGGAAUUGGGGAAAAUAGGUCUUUGGUUCAUGAGUCAAUUAAAAGUGAGUCUUCAAAAAACUACGUUUCUGUCAAGAAAGAAAGUAGAAUAGUGACUGUUUCAUCCAAGACAAAUAAAAGUAAAUCCAAUCCACUAGAACAUUCUGAAAGUGAUACUCUUGGAUCUGAUUUUGAAGUUCAAGAAAGCAUCCAUUCUCUAUCACGCUUGACCUAGGUCUAAACCUUCUGAAAUUAUGUUUUUACCUUCAAAUUUUAAUAAAUUUUCUUAUGUUUUUAUUAUUGCAUAUGGUGUCUUAAAAUAUAGGAAUGGAAGCCAUUAAAGGAAUGUUUAUCUAUGCUUUUUAUCAUAAUGAAGAUUCUGGCAUAUUUUCCCUUUUGAUACUUUGCACUGUUCAUUCAACAAAUGUUUACAAUACUAUUCUGG
rnacentral:lncRNA from 1 species